rnacentral:rRNA from 1 species
UGGGGAAUAUUGCACAAUGGGCGCAAGCCUGAUGCAGCAACGCCGCGUGAGGGACGACGGCCUUCGGGUUGUAAACCUCUUUUGGCAGGGAAGAAGCGAAAGUGACGGUACCUGCAGAAAAAGCACCGGCUAACUACGUGCCAGCAGCCGCGGUGAUACGUAGGGUGCAAGCGUUGUCCGGAAUUAUUGGGCGUAAAGAGCUCGUAGGCGGUUUGUCGCGUCUGCUGUGAAAACCCGAGGCUCAACCUCGGGCCUGCAGUGGGUACGGGCAAACUAGAGUGCGGUAGGGGAGAUGAGAAUUCCUGGUGUAGCGGUGGAAUGCGCAGAUAUCAGGAGGAACACCGAUGGCGAAGGCAGAUCUCUGGGCCGUAACUGACGCUGAGGAGCGAAAGCAUGGGGAGCGAACA